rnacentral:rRNA from 1 species
GACGAACGCUGGCGGCGUGCCUAAUACAUGCAAGUAGAACGCACAGUUUAUACCGUAGCUUGCUACACCAUAGACUGUGAGUUGCGAACGGGUGAGUAACGCGUAGGUAACCUGCCUGGUAGCGGGGGAUAACUAUUGGAAACGAUAGCUAAUACCGCAUAAUAUUAAUUAUUGCAUGAUAAUUAAUUGAAAGGUGCAAUUGCACCACUACCAGAUGGACCUGCGUUGUAUUAGCUAGUAGGUGAGGUAACGGCUCACCUAGGCGACGAUACAUAGCCGACCUGAGAGGGUGAUCGGCCACACUGGAACUGAGACACGGCCCAGACUCCUACGGGAGGCAACAGUAGGGAAUCUUCGGCAAUGGACGAAAGUCUGACCGAGCAACGCCGCGUGAGUGAAGAAGGUUUUCGGAUCGUAAAGCUCUGUUGUAAGGGAAGAACGAGUGUGAGAGUGGAAAGGUCACACUGUGACGGUAUCUUACCAGAAAGGAACGGCUAACUACGU